UACGUAGGCAGCGAGCGUUGUUCGGAGUUACUGGGCGUAAAGCGCGUGUAGGCGGCUGGUUAAGUCGGGUGUGAAAGCCCGGGGCUCAACCCCGGGACGCCGCCCGAGACUGGCCGGCUUGAGGACGGAAGAGGGGAGUGGAAUUCCUGGUGUAGCGGUGAAAUGCGUAGAGAUCAGGAGGAACACCCGUGGCGAAGGCGGCUCCCUGGUCCGUCCCCUGACGCUGAGACGCGAAAGCGCGGGGAGCGAACGGG
rnacentral:rRNA from 1 species